GGAUGCGAUCAUACAAGCACUAAAGCACCGGAUCCCAUCAGAACUCCAAAGUUAAGCGUGCUUAGGCGAGAGUAGUAUUAGGAUGGGUGACCUCCUGGGAAGUCCUCGUGUUGCAUUCC
rnacentral:rRNA from 1 species